GACGAACGCUGGCGGCGUGCUUAACACAUGCAAGUCGAACGGAAAGGCCCUGCUUUUGUGGGGUGCUCGAGUGGCGAACGGGUGAGUAACACGUGAGUAACCUGCCCUUGACUUUGGGAUAACUUCGGAAACUGGGGCUAAUACCGGAUAGGAACUCCUGCUGCAUGGUGGGGGGUGGAAAGGUUCGGCGGUUGGGGAUGGACUCGCGGCUUAUCAGCUUGUUGGUGGGGUAGUGGCUUACCAAGGCUUUGACGGGUAGCCGGCCUGAGAGGGUGACCGGCCACAUUGGGACUGAGAUACGGCCCAGACUCCUACGGGAGGCAGCAGUGGGGAAUAUUGCACAAUGGGCGGAAGCCUGAUGCAGCAACGCCGCGUGCGGGAUGACGGCCUUCGGGUUGUAAACCGCUUUCGCCUGUGACGAAGCGUGAGUGACGGUAAUGGGUAAAGAAGCACCGGCUAACUACGUG
rnacentral:rRNA from 1 species